CCAUUGUCAGCUAGUGUAAGAGCGUGUUGGGAAAAACCUGUCUGCGGAAUCCUGUGUCAUCUCCCGCUACAUGUGCACAGGAAAAGUCAGUGCUGCUCGCUGUGCCUCUCUGUUUCCCUUUCAUUCAGUUGCUUGCACUGAAGCAGGGAGCAGGAUUAGCUCGUGGCACUGGCUAUCAGAGGAGCGUAGAUAAAAGGCACAGCUCCUUAAGCGCCGCUGCUGCAGCCCUUGUUACUUCCCCCCCCCCUUCCCCACAACAGUUGUGCCUCAUUAUCCACUGUCUGGCUCAAUUUUUGUGGCCGUGUAUUGAUUGGAAGGGGCUUGAAGUUUUCCCUGCUCCACCGACUGUGGCAGAAGAAGGAGAGAUGUUCUAUAGCAUGGCCAUGAGGUCUUGAUUGUUCUGCGUUUAUGAAUGAAACUGACCUCAAUCACCUGUUACCUCCAGUUUCUAGAUUGUUUGAAGUGCUGCGGGUGUACCCUACAGGACCGAGGGCACCGAGACUCCAAUAUACAAGGACCCUACAGUAUCGUCUGCAGCAUGAGCUGGCUGAAUAGGAUUGCAUUGCUUUUCUUGGGAGUAGAAGAACAGGAGUACUUGUGGCACCUUAGAGACUAACAUUUAUUAGAGCAUAAGCUUUCGUGGACUACAGCCCACUUCUUCGGAUGUUACUAGCAGAAAGAGUGAACUGCCAGCAUGUGAAGAAUAACGUGCCAAGACUCAGAUUAUCCUAUAAAGGACACAGCCCAAGAUCAGAGCUUCCAGACCUCAACACCUUUCCAAUCACACUGUGCAGAAGCUGGAGUCUCCAGAUGACCUGAUCCUGGCUGGCCAUCAGGAAACGUUCAUCUGCCUUAUUGGGACUGAUUGCUGUGUGCUUUAAAAACAAACAAAGCAGACAAACAAAAAGGAAAACAAGGGAAAACAGGUAUUUUAAAUUUGUAAUGGGCCCAGUGAAGCUUGUGGGAAAAGGCCAGUCCAACAGUAUUCCAGGUAAAAAAAAAAAAAAUUGUCAGCGAAACAAAACAAGCCAUGGUUAAAAUGGCUCCAUUCCUCACAACUGAAAGCAUGCAAGGGGACUAGAAAAUUGUUUAUUUUAUUUUUCAAAAAUCUCAAAGGAAAAACUAAAAACUUGUGGUGUCUGUGUUAAUUACCGAGCUGAUCGGGGGAGGAAAGAUCUGCUUAUAGAUGGUAGCACAAAGGGGUUGCAGAUAAUGGUCAGCAAACAAACUACUUGUAAGCAAGAAGGCUCAGAUUAUGACCCUCCAGGAAAGGGAUGUGGAGUCAAGCCUGAGAAUAAAAGGGACAACUUAACCCUACGUGGAAAAAACAAACAAACUUUUUGCGUGUGUGUAUGUACAGUGCUGAAAUCUGGAAACAUAUACAAAAGGGAUCCCCCAUGAUAUAAUUACAUUAAAGCCUAUGCAAAGAUUCCAAGAGGAUAUUAAACACACUGGCCUCAAAGACAAAUUGUCUAAAUAAAAGGCAUGGUAUAACAAGAUACUUAUAAACACUCACUUGUAAUAAAUUUGAUGCUAAUGUUAUUGUUAAUAUUAAACCUUGAAAUAAAUUUCAUGUUAAUGAGUAACCUUGUAACAAUGUGUAAUGUAUAUGGUUUUGGGGAAAAACUUUUAAACAUGCUAGAAAUGAUAAUUGGAAACACACCUUAUGUUAAAAAGCCUUAUAGUAAUAAUGCAUCUCAGCUAUUAUCUGUAAAUAAACUGAAAACUUGGCACAGCAGAGAAACCAUUACAAACCUGGUCUGCUGUAUGAAAAGGGAAACUGAGGUACACCGCCUCCUGAAUUUCAUGAAUGAACAGUGGGAUAAUUCACCCUAAACCCUUAAAAGGCAGAAGCCAUUAAAAUCUGGCCUGCCUAUAGAACAAAAACACAGGAACGUCUGGGGGAUAAUUCUUCUGUUACUACUCUAGAUGGACCUUUGGUCUGACCCAGUACGGCCAUUCUUAUGUUCUUAUGUAAAAAGAAGGGGAUAUUUUAAGCAAUAAUCUGCAGCCCCCUUAAAGAGGAUAGAAAAAUGUUCUUUUUGU